rnacentral:tRNA from 1 species
GGGGCAGAUGUAGCUCAGUGGUAAGAGUUCUUGCCUAGUAUGUAUGAAGUCCUGGGUUCAAACCCUAGGCCUCC